AGAGUUUGAUCCUGGCUCAGAACGAACGCUGGCGGCAGGCCUAACACAUGCAAGUCGAACGCUGUAGCAAUACAGAGUGGCAGACGGGUGAGUAACGCGUGGGAACCUUCCCAGUGGUACGGAAUAGCUCAGGGAAACUUGAGGUAAUACCGUAUAAGCCCCUAGGGGGAAAGAUUUAUCGCCAUUGGAUGGGCCCGCGUCGGAUUAGCUAGUUGGUGAGGUAAUGGCUCACCAAGGCGACGAUCCGUAGCUGGUUUGAGAGAAUGACCAGCCACACUGGGACUGAGACACGGCCCAGACUCCUACGGGAGGCAGCAGUGGGGAAUAUUGGACAAUGGGCGAAAGCCUGAUCCAGCCAUGCCGCGUGAGUGACGAAGGCCUUAGGG
rnacentral:rRNA from 1 species